AAAAACAAAGCAAGUCCGAGAGAAGAAAAAAAGUGAAACCGAGAGAAAAGAGAAGGAAAAGAAAAAGAAAAUAAGAAAAGAAAAUGAAGAAGGAAAAAAAUAAGCCGAGAGUGGGGAAGAGAGAAAUUGAAAAGAAAAGUUACAGAAAAUAAAAUUGGAUAGUUAGAAUUAUAUCCAUUGGAUUAGUGGGUAAUAGAUUUAUGAAAUUUGAGCAGUUAUAUUACUAUUUGCAUGAUACGUAUAAGUUUUUAUAUCAGUUCUAACAGUUAAUUUUCGAACCAUGUAUUUUAGGAGGAACUCGAGAAUCCAGGAACCUACAAGAGCCCCAACGAACCCCAGAGUGAAAUAGGAUCUGUGAGUGGAUACUAUUGUUACUAUUAUUUAUUCCAUGAAGCAUUUAUAUUUGAUAUUAUGAUUUACUAUCAUGUUAUGAUUAUAUGUACGCAUAUUAUAUGUUUGAUUGAGUCAUGAGAUGUGAUUACUAGUCACCAUAUAUGUACCCGUCCCUGUAGACUCUGCGCAUGCGUAUCGAGAGUUAGGUUACUCUACCCGUGUGAGAUAGUUUAAUUACGCUCGGUAUUGAGAGGUUUUCCCCACUCUACUUUUGCGAUAAUGAUCCCGGCGAGUAUUGAGAGUUAUUUCCCCUGGGUGCUAUUUGGUGAAGUUUUGUGAUGUAUGUAUGUAUGAAUUCCAUGUUUGCUAGUGUAUGAUGUUCAAUGAGGAGUUAUGCCACAUAAUUAUGCAUAAGCACUAGUACACUAUAUUAUUAUUAUUAUUAUUAUUAUUAUUAUUAUUAUUUUAAUAUAUAUAAUUGCAUCCACUCACUGAGCGCAAGCUCACUAUUUUCUAUUUACCCAUUUUCUCCUAGGAUUCCACAGGAUUUCGUGCAGAUCAGUUCUAGUUAAUUGAGGUUAGGCCACGAGACCACUGAGCCGCAAGCUCACUAUUUUCCUAUUUACCCCUUUCCACUCAGGAUUCCACAGGAUUUCGUGCAGAUCAGUUCUAGUUAAUUGAGGUUAGGCCACGAGACGCAUUGCUACAUGUCUUGCAUUUUGAGCAC
rnacentral:lncRNA from 1 species